UAACGUUAUACAUCAAAGCUACUACUGACUAUAUCGCCCAAUCUGGUGAGAGUCUGUGGUUUUGUCAACAGUCUGUAUCAUUACAAGUGUCCUGUAUGAAUAACCCUGUUGGCCUUGUCCAAAUACCCAGACUAGUGUACUAAAUUGUAUGUGAAAAAAUAAAGUUAUAUUGUAUGUGAAAUUUAAAAAUAAAAAAAUACUAGGUCAAAUGCCUCAUCUAAUGCGCGAUUGGGUUGACUAACCACCAUUCAUCGAUUUCAAAUCAAAUGUUAUUAAUCACAUGAGCCAAAUACAAGUAUAGACCAUACAGUGAAAUGCUUAGUUGCCCCCUAACCAACAACUGUUUAAAACAUACAAAUAAGAAUAAGAAAUCAAAAAGAAACAAGUAGUUAAAGAGCUGCAGUAAAAUAACAAUAGUGACAGAGUCAAUGUGCAGGGGGUACCGGUACAGAGUCAAUGUGCAGGGGGUACCGGUACAGAGUCAAUGUGCAGGGGGUACCGGUACAGAGUCAAUGUGCUGGGGGUACCGGUACAGAGUCAAUGUGCAGGGGGUACAGGUACAGAGUCAAUGUGCAGGGGGUACCGGUACAGAGUCAAUGUGCAGGGGGUACCGGUACAGAGUCAAUGUGCAGGGGGUACCGGUACAGAGUCAAUGUGCAGGGGGUACCGGUACAUGAGUACAGAGUCAAUGUGCAGGGGGGUACCGGUACAGAGUCAAUGUGCAGGGGGUACCGGUACAGAGUCAAUGUGCAGGGGGUACCGGUACAGAGUCAAUGUGCAGGGGGUACCGGUACAGAGUCAAUGUGCAGGGGGUACCGGUACAGAGUCAAUGUGCAGGGGGUACCGGUACAGAGUCAAUGUGCAGGGGGUACCGGUACAGAGUCAAUGUGCAGGGGGUACCGGUACAGAGUCAAUGUGCAGGGGGUACCGGUACAGAAUCAAUGUGCAGGGGGUACCGGUACAGAGUCAAUGUGCAGGGGGUACCGGUACAGAGUCAAUGUGCAGGGGGUACCGGUACAGAGUCAAUGUGCGGGGGUACCGGUACAGAGUCAAUGUGCAGGGGGUACCGGUACAGAGUCAAUGUGCAGGGGGUACCGGUACAGAGUCAAUGUGCAGGGGGUACCGGUACAGAGUCAAUGUGCUGCGGGGUACCGGUACAGAGUCAAUGUGCAGGGGGUACCGGUACAGAGUCAAUGUGCAGGGGGUACCGAUACAGAGUCAAUGUGCAGGGGGUACCGGUACAGAGUCAAUGUGCUGGGGGUACAGGUACAGAGUCAAUGUGCUGGGGGUACAGGUACAGAGUCAAUGUGCUGGGGGGUACCGGUACAGAGUCAAUGUGCAGGGGGUACCGGUACAGAGUCAAUGUGCAGGGGGUACCGGUACAGAGUCAAUGUGCUGGGGGUACAGGUACAGAGUCAAUGUGCUGGGGGGGUACAGGUACAGAGUCAAUGUGCUGGGGGGGUACAGGUACAGAGUCAAUGUGCAGGGGGUACCGGCACAGAGUCAAUGUGCAGGGGG
rnacentral:lncRNA from 1 species